GAUGAACGCUGGCGGCGUGCUUAACACAUGCAAGUCGAACGAAGCAGUUUAUUACGAUCCCUUCGGGGUGACGAUUUACUGACUGAGUGGCGGACGGGUGAGUAACGCGUGGGUAACCUGCCCUGUACAGGGGGAUAACAGUUAGAAAUGACUGCUAAUACCGCAUAAGCGCACAGUACCGCAUGGUACAGUGUGAAAAACUCCGGUGGUACAGGAUGGACCCGCGUCUGAUUAGCUAGUUGGCAGGGUAACGGCCUACCAAGACAACGAUCAGUAGCCGACUUGAGAGAGUGAUCGGCCACAUUGGGACUGAGACACGGCCCAAACUCC
rnacentral:rRNA from 1 species